GACGAACGCUGGCGGCGUGCUUAACACAUGCAAGUCGAACGGAAAGGCCCUGCUUUUGUGGGGUGCUCGAGUGGCGAACGGGUGAGUAACACGUGAGUAACCUGCCCUUGACUUUGGGAUAACUUCAGGAAACUGGGGCUAAUACCGGAUAGGAGCUCCUGCUGCAUGGUGGGGGUUGGAAAGUUUCGGCGGUUGGGGAUGGACUCGCGGCUUAUCAGCUUGUUGGUGGGGUAGUGGCUUACCAAGGCUUUGACGGGUAGCCGGCCUGAGAGGGUGACCGGCCACAUUGGGCCUGAGAUGCGGCCCAGCCUCCUACGGGAGGCAACGGUGGGGAAUAUUGCACAAUGGGCGGAAGCCUGAUGCAGCAACGCCGCGUGCGGGAUGACGGCCUUCGGGUUGUAAACCGCUUUCGCCUGUGACGAAGCGUGAGUGACGGUAAUGGGUAAAGAAGCACCGGCUAACUACGUG
rnacentral:rRNA from 1 species